rnacentral:tRNA from 1 species
CGAGUCGUAGCUUAGUGGACUAAAGCACUGCCCUGUCACGGCAGGGGACGCGGGUUCAAAUCCCGUCGACUUGAC